GUCUCUCUAUAGUGGGUCGAGCUAUCCCCACCCUGACGGUGCUGACCCCCUCCAGUGAGGAGCUGCAGCAGGGGAAGGCCACGCUCAUGUGUCUGGCCAACAAGGGCUUCCCCUCAGACUGGAGUCUGGCCUGGAAGGUGGACGGCAGCAGCAGCAGCAGCUGGGAGGAGAGCAGGAGCCCUGGGGUGCUGGAGAAGGACGGCCUCUACAGCUGGAGCAGCACCCUGAGGCUCCCUGCAGACCAGUGGAGGAAGGUGGGCUCUGUGACCUGUGAGGCCACCCAGGGCUCCCAGACUCCACUCUCAGAGACACUGAGGAGAGACCAGUGUUCCCAGUCCUGA